CUACGGGGCGCUGCAGUGGGGAAUAUUGCACAAUGGGCGAAAGCCUGAUGCAGCAACGCCGCGUGGAGGAUGACACAUUUCGGUGCGUAAACUCCUUUUAUAUAAGAAGAUAAUGACGGUAUUAUAUGAAUAAGCACCGGCUAACUCCGUGCCAGCAGCCGCGGUAAUACGGGGGGUGCAAGCGUUACUCGGAAUCACUGGGCGUAAAGAGCAUGUAGGCUGGAUGACAAGUUGGAAGUGAAAUCCUAUGGCUUAACCAUAGAACUGAUUCCAAAACUGUCUUCCUAGAGUAUGGGAGAGGUAGAUGGAAUUUCUGGUGUAGGGGUAAAAUCCGUAGAGAUCAGAAGGAAUACCGAUUGCGAAGGCGAUCUACUGGAACAUUACUGACGCUCAGAUGCGAAAGCGUGGGGAGCAAACAGGAUUAGAUACCCCAGUAGUC
rnacentral:rRNA from 1 species